UAACACGUGGGUAACCUGCCCAAGAGACUGGGAUAACACCUGGAAACAGAUGCUAAUACCGGAUAACAACACUAGACGCAUGUCUAGAGUUUAAAAGAUGGUUCUGCUAUCACUCUUGGAUGGACCUGCGGUGCAUUAGCUAGUUGGUAAGGUAACGGCUUACCAAGGCGACGAUCAGUAGCCGGCUUGAGAGAGUGGACGGCCACAUUGGGACUGAGACACGGCCCAGACUCCUACGGAAGGCAGCAG
rnacentral:rRNA from 1 species